CGUGCCUAACACAUGCAAGUCGUACGAGAAAGUCGGCUUCGGCUGAUGAGUAAAGUGGCGCACGGGUGAGUAACGCGUGGAUAAGUCUGCCUUUUAAGUUGGGAAUAACGUACCGAAAGGUGCGCGUAAUACCGGAUAAUACUGAGCAACUACUGUUGCUUAGUCAAAGAAGGCCUCUGUUUACAAGCUUUUGCUGAAAGAUGAGUCCGCGUACCAUUAGCUAGUUGGUAGGGUAAUGGCCUACCAAGGGCUACGAUGGUUAGCUGGUCUGAGAGGAUGAUCAGCCACACUGGAACUGAGACACGGUCCAGACUCCUACGGGAGGCAGCAGUGAGGAAUAUUGCGCAAUGGGGGCAACCCUGACGCAGCAACGCCGCGUGAGUGAGGAAAAGGUUUUCGGACCGUAAAGCUCUGUCGAGUGGGAAGAAAUGUAUUGUGGCUAAUAUCCAUGAUAUUUGACGGUACCGCUAAAGGAAGCACCGGCUAACUCCGUGCCAGCCGCUGC
rnacentral:rRNA from 1 species